CAGUCGCCGCGGUAAGACAGAGGAUGCAAGCGUUAUCCGGAAUGAUUGGGCGUAAAGCGUCUGUAGGUGGCUUUUCAAGUCCGCCGUCAAACCCCAGGGCUCAACCCUGGACAGGCGGUGGAAACUACCAAGCUGGAGUACGGUAGGGGCAGAGGGAAUUUCCAGUGGAGCGGUGAAAUGCGUUGAGAUCGAAAAGAACACCAACAGCGAAAGCACUCUGCUGGGACGACACUGACACUAAGAGACGAAAGCUAGGGGAGCAAAUGGGAUUAGAUACCCGGGUAGUCCCUGUCUCUUAUAC
rnacentral:rRNA from 1 species